UACGGAGGAUGCAAGCGUUAUCCGGAUUCAUUGGGUUUAAAGGGUGCGUAGGCGGGCUAUUAAGUCAGUGGUGAAAUCCUGCAGCUUAACUGCAGAACUGCCGUUGAUACUGAUAGUCUUGAGUUUGGUUAAGGUAGGCGGAAUGUGUAAUGUAGCGGUGAAAUGCUUAGAUAUUACACAGAACACCAAUUGCGUAGGCAGCUUACUGAGCCGACACUGACGCUGAGGCACGAAAGCGUGGGGAUCGAACAGGAUUA
rnacentral:rRNA from 1 species